AACGGAAGUUUGUGUAGGGCGUCGCGAACGGUGACGGGUGAGAAUGCCUAGGAGAUGCCUGGGGUAGGGGGAGACGCUCGGAAACGGACGCUAAUACCGCAUACGUCCUACGGGAGAAAGCACGGGACCUUCUCGCCUUGCGCUCUCACAUAAGCCUCUGUGUGAUUAUCUCUUUGGUGAGGUAAUGGGUCUCCAAGGCGACAAUCCGUAACUGGUCUGAGAGGAUGAUCACUCACACUGGAACUGAGACACGGUCCCCACUCCUACGGGAGGCGCCACUGGGGAAUAUUGUACAAUGGGCGAAAGCCUGAUCCCCCCAUGCCCCGUGUGUGAAAAAAGUCUUCUGAUUGUAAAGCACUUUUAGUUGGGAGGAAAGGGACUUUAUUAAUACUUUGCUGUUUUGACGUUACCCACACAAUAAACACCGGCUAACUCUGUGCCACCACCCGCGGUAAUACACAGGGUGCGAGCGCUAAUCUCAAUUACUGGGCGUAUAGCGCGCGUAUGUGGUUCGUUAAAUUGGAUGUGUAAUCUCCGCGCUCACCCUCGGAGCUGCGUUCUCAACUGUCAAGCUAUAGUAUGGUAUAGAGUGGGGGGAAUUUUCUGUGUAUCGGUGAGAUGCGUAUAUAUAUGAAAAGAGCACCACUGUCGAAAGCGACCCCCUGUACUGAUACUGACACUG
rnacentral:rRNA from 1 species